GAGGAGGGGCUUGCCACAGGAAGGGGAUGGCAGGUACGAUAACAAGGUUGGAAGGAGAAAGAGGUGUGGCUGGGAAGGAGAUCCACAUAACUGAAGACAAGAGUGAGAGUUGGAAGAAUUAAAGAGAUGUCAGAGACCAGAGGAUGUGAAUGUCUUCUUUCAUGUGAGUGUAAAAUUAGGUGGCGGUGACCAGACAAUAUCAGAAUGCCAAGGCCCCAGUUCUCUGGGCAAUUACAAAUGCUGACGCUGAAGGCCUGAUCUCAGAUAAUGAGAUACCACAUGUGUUAGGGAAGUUAUGAAACUCCUAUGUGGACCUGGAACAGAGACCAGUGAUACCACAAUUACCUUGGAAGAAAGAUUGAGAGUCCCAACAUAAAAGGGAUUCCAGCAAACUUUGAUUAAUGAAACAUCCAGCCUCUCAGGACAGGUAUAGAAGGCUAGAAAACUCCUCUUGGAAAACAACCCAGCAGAAGAGGACAGCAGAAAGCUUUUUCGGCCCUGGGGAUCUGACUCAAGAGGUGCACAGCCAAUACCCCUCACACUGAGGAGUAGAGAGAACCCACUCUCAGUUCCCCCGAGUUCCAGGAGCAGUGAAAUCACUAAAGAAGAAUAGAUGUGUCCAUCAAGAUUAGCCCUGAGCUAACUGCUGCCAAUCCUCCUUUUUUUGCUGAAGAAGACUGGCCCUGAGCUAACAUCCAUGCCCAUCUUCCUCUGCUUUAUAUGUGGGACGCCUACCACAGCAUGGCUUGCCAAGCAGUGCCAUGUCUGCACCCGGGAUCCGAACCCGCAAACAUCGGCGAACUUUGCGGAAAGUGCAAACUUAACCACUGUGCCACCAGGCUGGCCCCGGUUUUUAAUUUCUAAAGUGUCAGCAGCCUUCCUCAUCUUGGUGACACUUGCAGAGAUGUGUAGAGUCUUUUCUCUUGAUUUAGUUUCUAGAACUUGUACUUGUACGACAUUAAUUUCUUUCACUAGCAAGACACAAAGCUCUUUCAUUGUCUGUGGAAGUAACGAUAUGUUCUCUUUCAUUCUACCAAUGUUGUCAGUUAUAUUAAUGAGUUCCCUGAUGUUAAAACCUCUUUGCGUUCUGAAAUGAAUCCCACUUGGUUAUGAUGUAUUAUUUUUUACUUGUAAUUUUGGAUUCUCUUUUUUAGUAUUUUAUUUUAGAUAUUUUUGGUAUCAAUAUUCACAGGUAAGAUUUGUCUACCGCCAUCUUUGUCUGGUUUUGGUACCAGUGUUACGCUCACUUCUUAAAAAGAAUUUGGAGACUUUCCUUUUUUUUUUCUUUCUUUACUGUUGUACAAUUUAAACACCUUUGGGAUUAACAUAUUUUAAAAUUUCACAGAAUUUCCCUGUGAAACCAUUCAGGUCUGGUGCUUUUCUGCACAGGAGUUUUUUGAAAACAUUCUCAAUUUCUUUAAUGGAAAUUGGUCUAUUUAUAAGUUCUGUCUUUAUGGGUGUUUCUCUUAUGAUUUUCAAAAUAUGUAUCAAUACUUUUGUCUCUUAUGUCUUUCUUAUUUUGAUUAUUCUUCACUCUACCUCUUAAAAAACUAGCUUAGUUAGAGUUUUAUUCAUUUUGCUGAUUUUCCCCCAGGCUUAUUUAUUUAUUUAUUGACUGUUAUCAUUAAAUUCUUUUUUUAUAUUUAUUAUUUACUUCCUUCUGAUGUCUUUUGUUAGAGUUUGCUUUUCUUCAUCUAGCUUUUUGGAUUACACAUUUUGCCCUUUUAUUUUAAACAUUUAUUUAAUGCUAGGAUUAUUCCUCUGAGCAUUAUUUUCAGCUAUAUCCCACAAAUUCUGAUAUGUUUUGUUUUCUAGGAAUUCCAGAAAAUUUUGUUUUGUAUCUCCUCUUUGUCCCACGGGUUGUUUAAUACAUGUUAUUUAUUUAUGUAGCUCAGGUGGAAAAGCCUUUUUGUUAGCGAGUUUUAAAUUUUAUUAUCUUCUAGUUUCAUUGUAUUGUGUGCAGAGCAUGGUACUAUGAUUAUUACUAUUUUUUAAUUUACUGAGGUUUUGUUUGUAGACCUAUAAAUAGUCAAUUUCUAUAAAUAUUCAUUGUACACUUAGAAAGAAAGUAUAUCUUCCAGUAUUUGGGUCUACACUGUCUAUAUCCCUAGCAGUUUUUGAUCUGCUUGAUCUGUUUAGCUCUGAGAGAGGUGAUAUCGUCUUGCUCAUUAGUAUGUUUCUGUCUAGUUCUCGUUAUAUACUUUAAAUUAUGAAAGGUCUUUUAUUUUUUAAUAUUUCUGAAUUAUUUUAUGUGAUGCAUGCUUCUUUAUACAGCACUGAAUUGGAUUUUGUUUAAACCUAUCUAAUAAUAUUUUUUCUUUAUAGAUAGUUUACAUUUAUUUACAUGUAUGAAUAUGAUUUAUUUGGUCCCAGUUUGUCAUAUUGCUUUAUAUUUCAUACAUUACAUAAGUACCUCCUAUAUGUUACAUUUACCAAAUUAAGUUUUUUACUAGAUGGACAAUCUUUCUUUCUCAUUCUAUGGUGUUUAGGGAGGUGUAUAUUUUUGUUCUAGUGAUUAUCACUAAUGAAUAAUUUCAUUAUAUAAUACCUUCAGUUGUCUCUUUAUUUAGAGAUUUAGAUAUUGGCUCUUGGUUUCCUAAUAUGAGCCAUACUGACAUUAGUUAUGAAUUGCUUCUCUCCCACUCCCUUGCCCACUGAUUUGUUGCUCAGGGUUUUAUCUUUGUAAUUGGAAGUUAACAUCUGUUACUUGACUUUUCAGUUUCGAGUGAUAUUGUUUUAUUCUUACCUAAUAACCAGAGCCAGUCAGAGACCUUAUUCUAUUUUAUACUUAUUGCCUUUCUUAUUCUCCCAUUUUUAGUUAGUUGAAUUAUUUCUACAAUAUCAGAACAUAUGAUACUUAGUUAUAGCUUUAUCUUCCUUUUGCCCUUUUAGUUUUACUUCUCCAUUACUUACAUUUACUAUUAACCAUAGACUUAUGCAGAAGAUUUAAAACGAUUUUGUGGUUUUGUUAAAUUUGAUCUGUGGUGGAUUCCUGGAUGUUCAUAGCUGGUUGUCUGUGGCCUUUAUUCUUGAAGAAUAGUUUAGCUAAGGAUUCAAUCUUUGGCUCACAUUUUUCCUUGAGAAUGACAUCUUGAUUAAAAUAUUUUUGACAAGAAGUCUGAUGACUAUCUGAUUUUCUUAUGCUUUUCUUUGAUUUAUAUGAUUUAGACUUUUUGCAGUAUGCUCAGAGAAUAUUUUCCUUGUAAUUAAAGCCCAAUGAUUGUAUUGGAAUAUUUGUCAGUAUUGAACAUUUUGAGUCGACUUUUCAAGUAAUGGAAUGCCUGUUC
ensembl:lncRNA